AUGAUCUUCUGUCAGGCUUCUUUUGACAUUGAUCUUGCAUGAUUUCGGCGUUAAAUUCUGGUGUUUUAUAAUUUUCCAAAAUGCCCAUAAGUUAAUGAUAAAAAAAUCGUAAGUGUGAUGAUGGGACUGGGUGAGGAGACUGUCGAAUCGACAUGGCUUUACUCAGACUCCAAAGAAUCCCAUUCAUCAGUAACGAAUCGCAGCCAAACCAGGAAACACCGCCAAAUCCUCAGAACAAGGAGUUGUAGACAAAAAUGCGACUCUUCUCCCGAUCCGUUUCUUGGCCCAAAAUGCGCCUUCGGCAGAAGAAGACACCCUCUGCACCCGUCCUGCUCUCGCAAUCUGAUCGUGUCAAUGACGGAAAAUCUUGGGAAAUGUGCUAAAAGUCUCUGCUAUGCCGUAAAGGAAGGAUUCUUGUUUCUAGGAUGCGUCCCUUGUAACGAUUUUGUGGGGGCGGUCUGUGAUUUUAUAACCAUUUUCCACAGCUGUCUGCUGGACUUUUUCUGUAUUUUCACUCGGUGUGUGCAAAGAUUGAAGAAGUAUCAGUGUUGAAGUAUUGGAGUUAUUAAAGUUGUUUGUUUUUUAUAUCA